rnacentral:antisense_RNA from 1 species
UUUGGCAUUAGGCUUACGCGCCAUAAUGCCGUUGCCCACCGCAUGCAGCAGGUGAGUCUUACCGAGGCCUGUACCGCCAUA